AACGAACGCUGGCGGCAGGCCUAACACAUGCAAGUCGAGCGAGGACUUCGGUUCUAGCGGCGGACGGGUGAGUAACGCGUGGGAAUGUGCCCUUCUCUACGGAAUAGCCCUGGGAAACUGGGAGUAAUACCGUAUACGCCCUAUUGGGGAAAGAUUUAUCGGAGAAGGAUCAGCCCGCGUUGGAUUAGGUAGUUGGUGGGGUAAUGGCCUACCAAGCCGACGAUCCAUAGCUGGUUUGAGAGGAUGAUCAGCCACACUGGGACUGAGACACGGCGCAGACUCCUACGGGAGGCAGCAGUGGGGAAUCUUAGACAAUGGGGGCAACCCUGAUCUAGCCAUGCCGCGUGAGUGAUGAAGGCCUUAGGGUUGUAAAGCUCUUUCAGCUGGGAAGAUAAUGACGGUACCAGCAGAAGAAGCCCCGGCUAACUCCGUG
rnacentral:rRNA from 1 species